rnacentral:rRNA from 1 species
AUUGAACGCUGGCGGCAUGCUUUACACAUGCAAGUCGAACGGUAACAGGUUAAGCUGAUGAGUGGCGAACGGGUGAGUAAUGCAUCGGAACGUGCCCGAUCGUGGGGGAUAACACUUCGAAAGAAGUGCUAAUACCGCAUACGAUCUGAGGAUGAAAGCGGGGGACCGUAAGGCCUCGCGCGACCGGAGCGGCCGAUGUCAGAUUAGGUAGUUGGUGGGGUAAAGGCUCACCAAGCCGACGAUCUGUAGCUGGUCUGAGAGGACGACCAGCCACACUGGGACUGAGACACGGCCCAGACUCCUACGGGAGGCAGCAGUGGGGAAUUUUGGACAAUGGGCGCAAGCCUGAUCCAGCAAUGCCGCGUGCAGGAAGAAGGCCUUCGGGUUGUAAACUGCUUUUGUACGGAGCGAAAAGGCUCCCUCUAAUACAGGGGGCUCAUGACGGUGCCGUAAGAAUAAGCACCGGCUAACUACGUGCCAGCAGCCGCGGUAA